rnacentral:rRNA from 1 species
GACGAACGCUGGCGGCGUGCUUAACACAUGCAAGUCGAACGGAAAGUCCCUGCUUUUGUUGGGUGCUCGAGUGGCGAACGGGUGCGUAACACUUAAUUACCCUGCCCUUGACUUUGUGUUAACUUCAGGAAACUGUGGCUAAUACCUGCUAGUAGCUCCUGCUGCUUGUUGUUGGUUGGAAAGUUUCGGCGGUUUGGGAUGGACUCGCGGCUUAUCAGCUUGUUGGUGUGUUAGUGGCUUAGCAAGGCUUUGUCGGGUGGCCGGCCUGAGAGGGUGACCGGCCACAGUGGGACGGAGAUGGGGCCAAGAGUCAUACGGGAGGAAGCGGUGGGAGAUAUUGCAAGAAGGGCGGAAGCAGGAAGCAGCGACGCCGCAUGGGGGAGGACGGUCUUAGGGUUGUAACCGGCUUUAGACUGUGAAGAAGAGUGAGUGACGGUAAUGGGUAAAGAAGGACCGGCUAACUACGUG